GGUUGAAUUGAUGGAUUAGAUUUGCGUUGGAAGAAACUAUAUCUUAUGCCAUUGGAGGAUGUAGGUAGAUUGAGGUUGCAUUGGGUUGAAUCUUGAGCUUCCAUCCUUUUUAAUGGGGUUGGGGUUUGUUUUAUUCAUCUUCCUUCCGACAAAUCCAUCAUUGGAUGGUGUGCUGGUUACUUUGAGAUCGAUACAGGUAGAUGAGUGAUGGAAUUUGGAAUGCUUUG
rnacentral:lncRNA from 1 species